rnacentral:rRNA from 1 species
UACGGAGGGGGCGAGCGUUAUUCGGAAUUAUUGGGCGUAAAGGGCGCGUAGGCGGCCUUGCAAGUCGGUUGGUGAAAGCCCGGGGCUCAACCCCGGAGGUGCGGCCGAGACUGCAGGGCUGGAGGCCGGAAGAGGAGGGUGGAAUACCCAGUGUAGAGGUGAAAUUCGUAGAUAUUGGGUGGAACACCGGUGGCGAAAGCGGCUCUCUGGUCCGGACCUGACGCUGAGGCGCGAAAGCGUGGGGAGCAAACAGG